AAAUGAUAAUACAGAAAGGCGGAGGGGUAGCUCGGUGGCUGGCCUUUCUUCCACGCAACCAGAGGAGGAAAGAUAGGAAACUGAUCGAGGAGGGGAAAGCCCCUCCUGCAGCCUGGCGGAGGGAGGAGAAACCCCGGGAAGAGAUCGGAUGGAGGACCUCCAAAAAGGCAUUCCAUCAAGAGUCUUAACUUCGGCCCAUUGUCCGCGAAGAAGACGAAGGGCCCUACCUGGUUCUAUGACAGCCCAGUUCGUUGGAUAGGAAUGGCCCUUGGAUUUUUCCAAGGGAGCACCGGUUCUGAUUGGUGGGAAAACUUAAUUUCUACCUUUGGGAACU
rnacentral:lncRNA from 1 species